CCUCCAGACAGUUAAUGUCACUGAUUUAAACAUUCUACUGGUAAGGUGUUUUAAGCAUAAAUUGAUGUACAAACACAAUACUUGCCUAAUCCAAGAGGACUGCACAAGGCGUUAGUUCCACGUGAUUUAUAUUUUUCCAGUUUGUUUUCCUUGAGAUAAUAUCCCAAGUUCUUGUUGAAACUACAUUCGUGGCUGUUUGACAUAGAUUUGAUCUCACAGGAAUCAGCUACCCAUCCUUCUUGCUUACAGAUUUCAAAAUCUACCAAGUCUCUCACUCAAAAAGUUUGUUUUUUCUUUGAAAGCUUCUUCUGUUGUCUAUUCCAUGAACGUAUCACUAUGAGAACCAUCAGCUCCAAAUGAAAUGAAUACACUUUUCAUGUCACAAACUACAAGCUGAAAAUCAAAUUUCACAUCUGAACCGAGGAACACAUCUUCAUUUGAGGUAACAGAAGCAUCUGUAAACAACAGCUAUCUAGAUACUGCCAUAUUGCUUAUUGGCAACAACAUUUUUUCAAAAUAUUAAAUAAAAAAGAAAAAGAAAAAAGGAUAAACAGAUUUCUGUUAGACUCUUCAUUUAGAAAAUCGGUCGCACUGCAAAACGACAAAAGGCUGCAUCAGAAAAUCUACAAAAUAACGUGAGGGUAAUAAUAUCUGCCAUGAAGCUUUUCACUAGUGCUCAUACAGUGACUCACGUUGCAUCUGACCUGGAACCAAUCUACAACUCCAGUUGUAGACAGAGAGGUUCUCAGAAGAAAAAAAAAAAAAAAUGCCUAAAAACCUAAAAGCACUUUAUCUGGAUAGCAAAGCAUUCCAUACGUGAUAAAGUCAGCCGUGUAUCCAUGCCAUGUGCACAGAAGUGUCCGAGGGUAAGAUCCUCUGUACUUCCAAGAAAAGAACGCUCAGACUUGCAACUCCCAAUCGCUUCCGCACCGUCCGCCGGCUGUUUCUGAAGGCCGUUCAGGAGGAAACACUCGGAAAAAUAACCCCCGUCAGCGCCCGGUGUUCCUCCGCUUUGACAGGAAGCGGCUGCGGCAUAUGGGCUUCCAGAGCUCCUCCUCCCCAGCGCCAACAGCUGAGGCAAAAGGCUCCGACACCCGGGGCUCUCCGUAACGCCGACCGCCUACAGGAAGAAGAACCAGAGUCACCGCCGAUCCGUGCUGGAUUCAGAACGGGCGCCGCACGGACGGACACGUCCGAACGUCCACGUGCACGCGGCCAGCAGCGGAGCCCCGACUCGGAGGGCCGAGCGCGGCUCUCGCAGCCCGCACGGGUUGCGGGCAUUCAUUUACCGGAGCACGCAGCCGCGCUAACGCUCCGCUGCCCUUCUGCGAGGCGCGGGCAUCUCCUCCGCUCCGAGAAACAGACGCCAACCCAGAAGGAAGGGGCAUUCCUCAUUUUAUUGGGGACGGACCGAACUGCGGGAGACGCCCGAGGGGAGACACUGCCCCGAGCGGGGAACUCCGCGGUCCCGAGGGAGCGGCGGGGGAUUCCCGGCCGCGGCUCAGCCCGGCUGGGACACUCCAGCCCCGCGAAGCCCUUCGAGGCGGCAGAAUACAUAAUGCCAGUGCGACUUCACAUGCAAGCAGAUGUCCUGAUACAUCACUGGCAAAACUCAAGCCAGGUUUCUCCUCUUACAGCACAUCAGUCUGCAUGUUGUUUCAGUGAAGUCUGCAAGACCAUUCCUCAAAGCUGAAGAUGUGUUUAACAGAAUUAUUUGUAAGUCUGUGGAUACAGCAGUGUGAAUGUUGGUAUUUCUGCCAUCCUCAGUGUAGCUGUACCAGCUGGCUCUCCUGCUAUGGGCAAACGUUAUACCACCAGAUGCGUGAUUCUACUGAUACAGCCAGUCAUGGUUCUAUGAGGAAUAAUCGAACUGUACUGAUAGAACCCAUAUGUAUUUCUUUACUAAUGAAGAAAUCCUGGUGUAAGCGUAGUCACAAUUAGUCAUGAAGAGCAAGAGGAAAGACAGAUGAUCACCAUAUAGGUAAAUUUAUCAAGCAAUAUUUUUAGCAAUUUCUGUAAUAAAAUAUGUUAUUUAAUCUUCUGAAGCCA
ensembl:lncRNA